CGUGCGACUGGCGGAUCAGUGGAGAAAACCACAGGGAGCACGUGGAAGAAUGACAGCCGACCGCCUGGGCAGCUU
rnacentral:ncRNA from 1 species